rnacentral:rRNA from 1 species
AGUGAACGCUGGCGGUAGGCCUAACACAUGCAAGUCGAACGGCAGCACAGUAAGAGCUUGCUCUUACGGGUGGCGAGUGGCGGACGGGUGAGGAAUACAUCGGAAUCUACUUUUUCGUGGGGGAUAACGUAGGGAAACUUACGCUAAUACCUCAUACGACCUACGGUUGAAAGCAGGGGAUCUUCGGACCUUGCGCGAUUGUAUGAGCCGAUGUCGGUUUAGCUAGUUUGCGGGGUAAAGGCCCACCAAGGCGACGAUCCGUAGCUGGUCUGAGAGGAUGAGCGAGCACACUGGAACUGAGACACGGUCCAGACUCCUACGGGAGGCAGCAGUGGGGAAUAUUGGACAAUGGGGGCAAGCCUGAUCCAGACAGACCGCGUGGGUGAAGAAGGCCUUCGGGUUGUAAAGCCCUUUUGUUGGGAAAGAAAAGCAGCAGGUUAAGACCCCGCUGUUCUGACGGUACCCAAAGAAUAAGCACCGGCUAACUUCGUG